GUGUCAGCAGCCGCGGUAAUACAGGGGGUGCAAACGUUGCUCGGAAUUAUUGGGCGUAAAGCGCGCGUAGGCGGCCGCUUAAGUCGGAUGUGAAAGCCCCUGGCUCAACUGGGGAAGUGCACCCGAAACUGAGUGGCUUGAGUACUAAAGAGGGUCGCGGAAUUCCCGGUGUAGAGGUGAAAUUCGUAGAUAUCGGGAGGAACACCGGUGGCGAAGGCGGCGACCUGGGUAGAUACUGACGCUGAGGCGCGAAAGCGUGGGGAGCAAACAGGAUUAGAUACCCUGGUAGUCC
rnacentral:rRNA from 1 species